UACGGAGGAUUCAAGCGUUAUCCGGAUUUAUUGGGUUUAAAGGGUGCGUAGGCGGUCGGAUAAGUUAGAGGUGAAAUCCCGGGGCUCAACUUCGGAAUUGCCUCUGAUACUGUUCGGCUAGAGAGUAGUUGCGGUAGGCGGAAUGUAUGGUGUAGCGGUGAAAUGCUUAGAGAUCAUACAGAACACCGACUGCGAAGGCAGCUUACCAAGCUACUUCUGACGUUGAGGCACGAAAGCGUGGGGAGCAAACAGG
rnacentral:rRNA from 1 species